rnacentral:rRNA from 1 species
GACGAACGCUGGCGGCGUGCUUAACACAUGCAAGUCGAACGGAAAGGCCCUGCUUUUGUGGGGUGCUCGAGUGGCGAACGGGUGAGUAACACGUGAGUAACCUGCCCUUGACUUUGGGAUAACUUCAGGAAACUGGGGCUAAUACCGGAUAGGAGCUCCUGCUGCAUGGUGGGGGUUGGAAAGUUUCGGCGGUUGGGGAUGGACUCGCGGCUUAUCAGCUUGUUGGUGGGGUAGUGGCUUACCAAGGCUUUGACGGGUAGCCGGCCUGAGAGGUUGACCGGCCACAUUGGGACUGAGAGACGGCCCAGACGCCUACGGGAGGCAGCAGUGGGGAAUAUUGCACAAUGGGCGGAAGCCUGAUGCAGCAACGCCGCGUGCGGGAUGACGGCCUUCGGGUUGUAAACCGCUUUCGCCUGUGACGAAGCGUGAGUGACGGUAAUGGGUAAAGAAGCACCGGCUAACUACGUG